rnacentral:rRNA from 1 species
UACGGGGGGAGCAAGCGUUGUUCGGAUUUACUGGGCGUAAGGGGCGCGUAGGCGGCCUCUGCAAGUCGACUGUGAAAUCUCCGGGCUUAACCCGGAAAGGUCAGCCGAUACUGCAGGGCUAGAGUGCAGAAGGGGCAACUGGAAUUCUCGGUGUAGCGGUGAAAUGCGUAGAUAUCGAGAGGAACACCUGCGGCGAAGGCGGGUUGCUGGGCUGAGACUGACGCUGAGGCGCGAAAGCUAGGGGAGCGAACGGG